AAAAACGAGAUCAGGUUAGUCUGACAUGACUUAUUUUUCAGAAAUCCAUGCUGACUAUUGGUGAUCACAGCAUUCCUUUCUAGGUGCUCACAGACUGUUUGCUUAAUGAUCUGCUCCAGAAUCUUCCCUGGUAUUGAUGUCAGACUGACUGGGCGGUAAUUAUUUGGGUCCUCUCUUUUCCCCUUUUUGAAAAUAGGGACAACAUUUGCCCUCCUCCAGUCUGCCGGGA